GAUGACACUAUUUUUAAAUUCCAAUGUGCUGUUAAUGGGUUUUUGAAAGAAAAUAAAGAUAAUGAUAUUUGAUUGUUGUAGAAGGCAUGUGGCCAGAUGAUGCAAUUGACUACUGGUGUUUCAUCUUCACAAGUUCUCCGUCAUUCCAUAAGAAAGCUGCUCUUCUUGUUUCAUAAGAGAUGGUGAACAGUGGGAAUGCAGGUUCGAUCCCUGGUUGGGGAAAUGAGAUCCCACAUGCUGCAGGGCAACUAAGCCCGCAUGCCGCAGCUACUGAGGCCACCUGCUCUGGAGCCCACGCGCAACAACUAGAGAGCCCACAAGCCGCAAGGAAGACCCCACACACUGCAACGAAGAGCCCUCGUGCUGCAACUAAUACCUGACACCGCCAAAAAUAAAUAAAUAAAUAAAUAAAUAAAAUAAUAUGAGUGAAUGAAGAUAAUGGAUAAUGCCUUAAGAGAAACAGACAAGAAAAGGAAAAUUUUUUUAAAUCAAAAAGAAGAUAAAAAGAAUUUUAGAGAAAUGGCAAACGUAAAAGAUAGGCAAAAAAUAGUCGGACAGCUCUGAAAAGAGUAAUAUAAAUAUGUAUAAGAAUCUAUUAUACCAUAAAAGUGACAUUUCAAAUCAGUGGGACAGAUUAGUCAAUAAAUUGUGAUACAUACAUGUUGGGGUAUAAAUAUUUCUCUGGAAGGAUCCACAGCACGGCAAAAGCAGAUGUCUCUGAGGAGGGAAAUGUGUGGCUGGGGAAAGUGGGAAAAAGAGUGACUUUUCAUUGAAUUCCCCUGUGUACCUUUUCUAAUGUUCUGUCACGUGAAUCUGUUACCUCUGAAGUUUGCCUUAGUUCAAACCCCAGUUCCCCCAAUUGCUAGCUCUUAAUCUUGGGCAAACUCUUCACACUCUCCAAGCCUCUUUAUCUGUGAAAUAAGGUCAGUAACUUAUCCUGGUGCUGCCUGGCACAGAAUAACUCUCAACAAAUGGAGAUUAUUAGUGAAAAAAACCCAAAUGCCCAUCAAUGGAUGAAUGGAUUUUUUAAAUGUGGUGUAUAUGUGAAAUAUUAUACAGUCAUAAAAUGAAUGAAGUACUGACACAUGCUACGACAUGGGCGAACUUGAAAACAUUAUGCUAAGUGAAAGAAGCCAGACACAGUGGUCACAUUUGUAUUAUUUCAUUAAAUAUCCAGAGAAGGCAAAACCACAGUGACAGAAAGCAAAUUAAUGGUUGCAGGGACUGAAGGAGGAGGGGAUGAAUAGGGCCUGCUGAUGGUUAAGGGGGAUUCUUUUUGGGAUGAUGAAAACGUGAUGGGUUAAAUGACGGUGAUGGUUGCAUAGACUUGUGAAUGUACGAAAUGACACUGAAUUUGCAGUUUCAGAAGGUGAAUUUUAUGGCAUGUGAAUGACAUCUCAAAAAAAUAAUUUUGAAAAUGAAAAUUGCCAGAUUUCCCAUAGUCACUAUCCAGUGUCUCCAUCUCUCCCUUCUCCCCACUGCAUUCCUUUUGACGCCCACCCCUGCUGCUCUCUCCCAUCCUCCCUCCCUCGAGCUGCCCCAUGAGGACUCCCAGGGAGCCCCUGAACCGCUGGGCGCCUGCGUCCUGUGGCUGUUGGAGCGGGUGGCCAGUGUUCGUGCCCCCACCGCUCUCACCGUGAGAGUGGACAUUCCAUCGGAUUUUUCUUUUGCGUUU